rnacentral:misc_RNA from 1 species
UCUCCGUAGGUGAACCUGCGGAGGGAUCAUUAAGAAUUGAACAGCAGUGUCUGGCACUGUUGCCCAUUCUAACCCUUUGUGAACCAAACUUGUUGCUUCGGGGGCGACCCUGCCGACGACUUUGUCGCCGGGCGCCCCCGGAGGUCUUCUAAACACUGCAUCUUUGCGUCGGAGUUUAAAUCAAAUUAAACAAAACUUUCAACAACGGAUCUCUUGGUUCUGGCAUCGAUGAAGAACGCAGC